ACGUAAGGUGCAAGCGUUAAUCGGAAUUACUGGGCGUAAAGCGUGCGCAGGCGGACUUUUAAGCCAGAUGUGAAAGCCCCGAGCUUAACUUGGGAAUGGCAUUUGGGACUGCAAGGCUGGAGUGUGGCAGAGGAGACUGGAAUUCCUGGUGUAGCAGUGAAAUGCGUAGAUAUCAGGAGGAAUACCGAUGGCGAAGGCAGGUCUCUGGGCUGACACUGACGCUCAUGCACGAAAGCGUGGGGAGCAAACAGGA
rnacentral:rRNA from 1 species